CCACGGGCCCAGACAGGGGGACAUCUGCUCGGGCUGACGUACAACGUGUCCCAACUACGUAUUUUUUUUGUUUUGUUGUUGUUGCCUGUUUGGGAUUCCUUCUUGGAUGGCCUGUAACAAAGAUUGUAUCUGUACUGGAUUGAGUCUAUCAAAUAAACAAGAACAACGUGGGGCUAAGUUUUGAAAACAGCGUAUAAAUACUCAUGUAUAUGUUAUUUACGGCUCAUACUAGUGCACCCUCUUCGCAAACACCACUGCAGCAAGCAGGCGAAACUCAGGUGGUGGGGCAAUGUUUACACUGACACCCUCCUGACCAGUCCAACAGUUACCCAGGCCCCCCUCCCUUUACCCCUCCCAUUCCUCACCUCUACCCCCUUCCACAACCUUUCCACCCUUCACUAUGAAUGAGGCCAGCGUAGUCAGGGAAGGAUGGCUCCACAAGAGAGGUGAGUACAUCAAGACUUGGAGGCCGCGCUACUUCAUCCUGAAGAGUGACGGCUCCUUCAUCGGCUACAAAGAGAAGCCUGAGCUGUCCGACCAGAGCUUGCCCCCUCUCAACAAUUUCUCAGUGGGAGAAUGCCAGCUGAUGAAAACGGAGCGGCCCAAGCCAAACACGUUCGUUAUCCGCUGCCUGCAGUGGACCACUGUCAUCGAGAGGACCUUCCACGUAGAAAGCAAUGCAGAGAGAGAGGGGUGGAUGCGUGCCAUCCAGGCAGUGGCCAAUGGGUUGAAGGUACGAGAGGAGGAGGAGCCCAUGGACCUGUUUGGUUCUCCCAGCGACAGCAGCAGCAUGGAGGAGAUGGAGGUGGCCAUGUCCAAGACCAACUCCAAAGUGACGAUGAGUGACUUUGACUACCUGAAGCUGCUGGGGAAGGGCACGUUUGGCAAGGUAAUCCUGGUCAAGGAGAAAGCCACGGGGAUGCACUACGCCAUGAAGAUCCUGCGCAAGGAGGUCAUCAUCGCUAAGGACGAGGUAGCACACACGGUUACAGAGAGCAGAGUGUUACAGAACACCCGGCAUCCCUUCCUCACGACACUGAAAUACGCUUUCCAGACUCAUGACCGAUUAUGUUUUGUGAUGGAAUAUGCCAACGGAGGAGAGCUCUUCUUCCACCUGUCUCGGGAUCGUGUGUUCACGGAAGACCGGGCCCGUUUCUAUGGCGCUGAGAUCGUAUCUGCGUUGGAGUACCUCCACUCUCGUGACGUGGUAUACAGGGACCUGAAGCUGGAGAAUCUAAUGCUGGACAAUGACGGACAUGUUAAAAUCACAGACUUUGGGCUGUGUAAGGAGGGCAUCACGGACGGUGCCACCAUGAAGACCUUCUGCGGCACCCCGGAGUACCUGGCGCCGGAGGUGUUGGAGGACAAUGACUACGGCCGGGCGGUGGACUGGUGGGGCCUGGGCGUGGUCAUGUACGAGAUGAUGUGCGGUCGGCUGCCCUUCUACAACCAAGACCACGAGCGACUUUUUGAGCUCAUCCUCAUGGAGGAGAUCCGAUUCCCCAAGAACCUGGCUCCAGAGGGCAGGGCCCUGCUCACCGGCCUGCUCAAAAAGGAUCCCAAGCAAAGGUUAGGGGGAGGACCGGAUGAUGCCAAAGAAGUGAUGUCCCACAAGUUCUUCAGCUCCAUCAACUGGCAGGACGUGGUAGAUAGAAAGCUGACUCCGCCCUUCAAGCCUCAGGUGACGUCAGUGACUGAUACACGUUACUUCGACGACGAGUUCACGGCACAGACCAUCACCGUCACGCCUCCAGACAAGUAUACCAACCUGGACUGUGGCAUCCCCAACCAGCCAGCACACUUCCCCCAGUUCUCUUACUCUGCCAGCAUACGAGAGUGACCCUGUCUUUACCAUACACACUGAAGAUAUGCAUAGCGCAUCAGCUCACACUCUCAUCCACACACACACACACACACACUUUCUUGUAAAAAAAAGACUGCAAGCUUGAGACUCCACAUAGGCCAAUGGAUCUCUGGUCACAGCGGGGAUUUAAGUGCCUAGUCUUGCAGCCAUCUUGUCUGCUCAAACCCCGCCUACACUACAGUCACGCACAACAGCAGCCUGUGAACUGCACAGGACCUCAGUCAAUACCUCACGUCGUCAACAUCAGCAGCAGUAGCAUAUCAUCCACGCACGGAUAACUAUAAUCUAUAGGUGGUGUUAAAGGACACUACUGCUCCUCACUGGAAGCCCUGGUCUAGUACCUAUAAGGUGAUCCUAUAGGACACCACUGCUCCUCACAGGGAGGACUAGGACCUAUAGGACACUACUGCUCCUCACAGGGAGGACUAGGACCUAUAGGACACUACUGCUCCUCACAGAGAGGACUAGGACCUAUAGACACUACUGCUCCUCACAGAGAGGACUAGGACCUAUAGGACACUACUGCUCCUCACAGAGAGGACUAGGACCUAUAGGACACUACUGCUCCUCUGAUUUGGAUGGAAUUGAGACACUGAUCUCUUACACUCAAUUUCUUUCUUUCUCGCUCUCUCAUUUUUGUUCUUUGUUUGUCGCUCCCUCUUUUCCCCUCUCUGUCCCCCCUCGUCCUUCUCACACUAACCCACUCACUCACACUGCUGGGUAGAAGAAAAAAACACUGACGUGAUUCUUGUUUUCACAAAUGAGAAACAAAAGUUUUCUCUCACUCAUUGUUACAGUUUAUAAGGAGUCAUAUGUCUGUGAUUUAUUCAAGUGCUCUUUUCUGUAACUAGCUGUUACCAAUAGUGUUGAAGUGGUCCUACUGGGGGGGGGGGGGGGGUAAACAAUGAAGCUGUUUCUCUGUCAAUGUGAUUGUGUGCUUGGAGAAAAGGUGGGACAACCAAAACUGAAUGUCUGCAUUUUGUGUUUGUAUGUGUGCGUAUGUCAGUGAAGUCGUGUGUGUGUGUGUGUGUGUGAGCACUCAAAUGUAAACGAGCAUGACGUGCAUCGGUAUCAGUAGAAUGAUUGGCGACAUCACACUACAGAGUUUUUCCGACUCAGAGCUCAAAAACCUACUCUGGAUUUACAAAAAGCGAUGCAGGAGGGAGUACUACUUUUUAACUGUAAUUCAGUGAAAUUAACUAGUAUUGCUCUAUUUCUUUUUCUUUUUUGACUGGGAUCGUUGUGAACAGAACACAAAGUUGCUACAGAGAAAAUGUAUGAAUGAAUCACUGUAAAAGGUGUGUAGGUACGGAUUWUUAAACCCUGUUUUUAAUUCAGGACUUGUCUCAACACCUCUGGUCUUUGAUCGAGACGCACCAGCCAUGUGAUUUACAGCGGUCGACUAGCACUUAGUUACUUAAGCAGACCUCUUUUUACUCAAAUUAUGAGAUUUGUAUGCUUUAUUCUUGUUAUUUUGUUGCUUUGUUUCCUCUUUCAAAUGUCAUAAACGUCUGCUGUACUAUCAGAAAUGGCCGCACAGGUGGUGUUGAGUGGAUCAGUGACGGGGCUCCGUUCUGGUCACAACACCGGGUGUGUGUUGAAUGUAGUGAUCACGCCUGCUCCUCUUCGUCUGCUGUCUGACUGCUGACAGUCACUGGUCAACGAGAUCCAGGUUUUCUCUAAUGUCCUGGUAGUCAUGUGAGCCUUGUGUCCAUUGUGUGCUGUUUGGAAAUUGUUUCUGAGACUUAACUAUUAUUGUUUUUUUUGUCUAGUUCUGUUGUUUUCCCACCUCACUGUUUCCCUGGCCCCUUUUGAAGACAUUGCUACUCAUUUAACAUUCAUAAAUGUUUAAUUCAAUGAAAGAAAAAAGUGUAUGUUUCUGCUAAAGUUAUUUCAAUUAAAAGGAUCCCAUUGUA